CAUCUCUUUCUUUUUCUUUCUUCAGAAAACCCUCAUCCUCUCUUCUCUUCAUUUUCAUCUGUUCUUUUUUCGCUUUUGACUGAGAACAACUACAACAAGGAGGAUGGUUGGGAUUUUUUUGGGAUUGCGGACAAUGGAUUGAAAGUCCACGAGAAGGAGAAAAAGAAUCAACUUUCCAGAUUGAGGAACAUCACAAGGAAAUACUAAAGGGAGGAGAAAAAGAUUUCGCUUUUCAGCUAUUGCCUUCUCAACAUGAAUUGUUAUGCAUCUGAAUCAUAUAUGAAGCUGGGAGGUUCAGUUUGAAGUACUCUUGAGGUUAUUCUUCUAGAAGCUGUGGAUGUUGAAGAAAAGGUAAACAAUUAUCUAAAGGAAGAAAUAGUUGAAAGAGAUCAAUCAAUAUUGCUUCAUUUUUUCUAGACAUACUUUUGUUUUCUCACCUUGUAGUUUCCUCCCAAUGCUGUACUGAUGUGUUUAUCACCUUGGCAUUUAUCACCUCUCUCCCAAUGCUGCCAUUUUGACUACCAAGAUCGACCCAAAAAAAAUUACGUCAAAUCAUUCUGGAGGGGAUACGAAAAGAAAUUAAGCAUCUGCAUGGUAAUCGAGUGACUUUUAAGAAAUAGAAGAGUUCACAAAGAGAACUACGCGCAGUUGGUUUCUUCAGAUAUGGAAAAUCUUUUGCAAUGUGUCUUGCCUACGGUUUUUCAUAUAAAUAUUCUAAGAAGAUUAUUCUCAUUGCUUAAAGGGAUAAUAGGGUUGUUCUAGAUCUUCUCUCUCUGCUUGAUCGUCUUUAGCUCCAGAAGCAAGGAAAUUUGCAGAAUCGAUCUCCAAACUAUCUUGUUUUUUGUUGCCUCUUAAUCUUUAUUUCCUUUCUAUAUUUAUUGGUUUUAUUCCCCAAAAAUUUUCACCUGGUUAAUAUCUAAAUUUUGCCUAUAUUGUUCCUUUUUUCUCUAUCCAUGCUUUCUCACAAGACAGAUGCAGCCAAGAGAAGAUCAUCACCGAGAAACAUUGCGGGCAAUUUUGCUUCCUUGGGUUUCGUCCUUCUUCAUCUCAGGGGUACGUUCACUUAUUGACUCACAAAGACGAUCCAUAUGGUAACCAACCCAAAGUCUCCAUUUGUGGAGAUCAAAUUUCAUAACAUUAAAAGCAGAAGUGUGAAGACGCUCAUGGGUUAUUUGCAUUAAUAUCAUCAAGAAAUUUUGUCGGAUCUCAUUGCUUUUGGUUUCUCGUAAGGUAUUUGCUUUCAGCCUUUCACGGGAACGAGAGGAGAGUCUGAAUGAAGCUAGAGCUCUCUGAUGCUAUUAGUCAUCGAAAGUCUAGAAUCAUUUUGCUUGUGGCCAAUUAGAAAUACUUUUUUCUUUUCUUUGUCAAUUUGUUCAAUUGGCAUUGGUAUAUGGUUUAGUCUCGCUAAGUAGAUUUUCUUUUUAUACUGCAUGUAUAUGCAUUUUAUUAUUCGAUUGAAUAUACUGUAAAGGAAACUUAU